UUGAUACAAGCAUAAUAAUUUUUCAAAGAUCUAUGAGUAUUAGGAGAAAGUAAGGUGAAUUUAUGAGGGCCAUAAAAAUCCCUACUUAAUCGCUAUAACCAAAUUUUAAAUUUGCUUUCCUGCAGCCAAUGACUAUGAAAAGUGGAGCUUAGUACAGGAAUAGCAUGAAGGAUGUUUUGAUGCCACUUGGUGAUCUGUAAACUAACAGCUUUAAGGUGGAGGCUGAACGGACACAGCCAAGUGAGUCACAAACAAGCCCAAAAGUCGGCCCAUCAUAAAUAAGCCAACAAAGAAGCAAGAGGCUCUUUUGGAAGAAUUUACUGCAGUUGCAAGACAAAGCAGAUGAAGGAAGACAAAAAUUUACCAAUGAGCUACACUGUUUGGAUUUAUGACUCGACAGUUGGAUGUACAACCUGCACUGGACUUAAAGCACGGGAAUGUGAAUCACAUUGUGGCCUUAUGGUGGCUUCUUCUGUGAGCACACAUCAUCUACUUUUCAUAAAAGAUUUCCUAAAAGGAGAGGAUAAACUUCCAGCAUUUGGGACAGGACAGAAGGAAUCUUUUGUGUUGGCUGGUGGAGGAGAUGCAAGGAUGGGAGAUGGUGAGACUCAGCACUACUGAAGGUCCAGGCAAUGACUCAAACCCAAAGUGAGCACCCAGAUAUUUUAAAGAUUCUUGAAAGGUUUAAAUGGAAGCAUAAUCACAAAAUAAAAAAUCC
rnacentral:lncRNA from 1 species